AUUGAACGCUGGCGGCAGGCUUAACACAUGCAAGUCGAACGAGUGGCGGACGGGUGAGUAAUGUCUGGGAAACUGCCUGAUGGAGGGGGAUAACUACUGGAAACGGUAGCUAAUACCGCAUACCAUCAGAUGUGCCCAUAUGGGAUUAGCUAGUAGGUGGGGUAAGGGCUCACGAAGGCGACGAUCCCUAGCUGGUCUGAGAGGAUGAACAGCCACACUGGAACUGAGACACGGUCCAGACGCCUACGGGAGGAAGCAGUGGGGAAUAGUGAACAAUGGGCGAAAGCCUGAUGCAGACAUGCCGCGUGUGUGAAGAGGGCCUUCGGGUGGUAAAGUACUUUGAGCGAGGAGGCGUUACUCGCAGAAGAAGCACCGGCUAACUACGUGCCAGCAGCCGCGGUAAUAC
rnacentral:rRNA from 1 species